rnacentral:SRP_RNA from 2 species
UAGCCCGACCCCGGCGACUGGGGCGCGUUAAAUCCGCCAGGUCCGGAAGGAAGCAACGGUAGCGUUUGCCUCAGGGUGUCGGAUCGUCGGGCUAUCA